UACAGAGGUCCCAAGCGUUGUUCGGAUUCACUGGGCGUAAAGGGUGCGUAGGUGGUCGGGUAAGUUUGAUGUGAAAUCUCCGGGCUUAACCCGGAAACUGCAUUGAAUACUAUUCGGCUGGAGGGUUGGAGGGGGGACUGGAAUUCUCGGUGUAGCAGUGAAAUGCGUAGAUAUCGAGAGGAACACCAGUGGCGAAGGCGAGUCCCUGGACAACUCCUGACACUAAGGCACGAAAGCUAGGGGAGCAAACGGG
rnacentral:rRNA from 1 species